GGAUUUAAUGACUUUAUUAUACAUAGCAGUCGGCAUUUAAUGUUUAUAUAAUAAAAAUCCAGACCUUUUUAAUUAAAAGAUGAUAGUAUAACAAAAUCUGGCUCUUGAGGUGCCUUCUGACUUAAAAAACAAAACAAAACAAAACAAAAAACCUUUGACUUAAGGCUACAUUUUGAGAGAUCAAGAGCAUUUUCUUUCAUACUGCAGUCCAAAGAAAGGACAUUCCACCCAUCUACAUUCCAUUGCAGUUUCAAUCGGUUAGGGUAGUUUCUAUUUUCCAUUCAAAAACUAUUGAAAAAGAAUGUCAAAUUUGCAUUUCAACAAUGGAUGGCAGCGAUUAACCAGGCAUAUUACUUGCAACAAAAGCUCAAAAAGUAAAAAAGAAAUUAUUUUUGUGAAAACACAAAUAGCCAUAGUUCUAUAAAAACAACCAAUCACAUAUUAAUAUCAUAGAACAAGUAGUCUUCUCAAACAUAUUUGAUGUUUAUUACUGUAUCACUUUGAAUAUUUGCGAGAGCCU
rnacentral:lncRNA from 10 species